rnacentral:rRNA from 1 species
UACAGAGGGCUCAACCGUUGUUCGGAUUCAUUGGGCGUAAAGGGUGCGUAGGCGGUCGCGCAAGUCGGAUGUGAAAUCUCAGGGCUCAACCCUGAAACUGCAUUCGAUACUGCGUGGCUAGAGUGCUGGAGAGGAGACUGGAAUUUACGGUGUAGCAGUGAAAUGCGUAGAUAUCGUAAGGAAGACCAGUGGCGAAGGCGAGUCUCUGGACAGCAACUGACGCUGAGGCACGAAGGCCAGGGGAGCAAACGGG